CCCUUGGUAGCUCAGUUGGAAGAGCGUGACUGUAAUUGAUAAGCUUGCCAUCUCAAGGUCAAUGGUUCGAACCCGUUCCGAGGGA